AGAGACCUUGACUCCAAGAUUUUGAUUUUUCUUCCUCAAGGUUGAGAAGCUAAUGAAUGCCAUGGACCUUACCUCCUGCACCAAAAGAUUUGCUAACAAUCUCAAGGGUUUCAGGACCUCUCACCCCAUGGCGCCCACCCACAGACACCAGGUUUGGCUGAUCUCUGAUGGAUCUCUUCCUGUCAACAUUAAAGGACAGAUUGAAACCUCCAGCUCCAGCUGGAAGAUUAUGUGGGGCCACAUGAGCUGAAGCCAAUAGAACAGGC
ensembl:lncRNA